GCCUUCGUGGUGUAGGGGUCAGCACGCUGAGCACGUAUACCAGAGGUCCGUGGUUCGAGUCCCGGCGAAGGCG
rnacentral:tRNA from 1 species